CCAGUUGUGUUUCUUUUUGAUGCAUUUGCUGGGGCUCGUCCAGGAAACAGAGCCGGAGUUCACCAAAGUCGAGGAGACUGAGCACACUGAUCAGUUCACUGUAAAGCUAGGAGCGGACAUGAACCUCAUAGAUCUGUGGUCCGCGGAUCCAGUUCCCACCCAAGUACCCACCCUCAAACCUUUGUCUUCGCCCGGUCUUGUCCGGAUUGUUAGAGGCUCCGGUCCCGUCCGGAGAUCUUCCUCCUCCGAUGUCUCUAUCAGAUUUCCUGGUCCCAUCUCCUCCACUGGUUUCAGCCAGUCCCCUGGAUUUGUCGGCCCUACUGGUGUCGUCCAGCUCCUCGGCUCUGCCUCCGCCGCUAUUGCCGUGUGGCUCAUCAGCCUUGCCUCAGGCUUCCCAGCUCAGUAUGGCGCCGAGUCCCCAGCUUCACUUCGGCCCUCCAGGCCCAUGUCUCCACCUCGGCCUGUCAGCCCGCCGACUCCGCUCCGGCUCUGUAUUCCUUCGGCUCCACCGAGGCUCGUCUGCCCUAGGACUCCUCUGGGCUCCCUCGUACAUUCGGACAAACCUCGGUCGGUCGUCGCUCCGCUUCCGCCACGGACUUCCGGGUCUCCGGCUGCGCCUCGACCCUCCACCCCUUCGGCUUCACCGGGCUCCUCCCUUCCUCUGGUUUCCCUGUCGUCCUCGCUCACUCCAUCAUCGCCCUGGUCAGCCGAAUCCCUGGCUCCGCCUCAGUCACGUGAGCCAGCCGCUCCACCUUGGGCUUCCAGGCCUUCGAUGUCCUGGUCCAUCGGCCUCUCUGCUCCGCCGGUUCCGCCACGUACCCUGGUUCCGCCUCCGUGGAUCGGCUUCUGGGUGUCGCCCAGUCCUUCAGCCAAAGCUCCUCCCUGGUUCUUCCCACCGUCGGCUCCACCAUGGUGUUGGUCUCCUCCGAAUUCGCCAGGUUCCAGUCCUUCACCAGCACCACACCCUCCGCCUAAGCCUCCACCCUCUUUCCUCUUUUCUGUCAUCUACUGUUGUGGCGUGAGGUCACGCCUUCCGAAAGGGGGAGCUAAUAUCACGAUUAUGUUUAGUUUCUGUAAUGAGCUCUCAUUAGUUACCAUGGUUUCUGAUUAGUUAAUCCUUGUUCAGCUGUUCCUGCUUAUUUCCCUCAUUUACCUUGUGUGUAUUUAUAGUCCUG
rnacentral:lncRNA from 1 species